rnacentral:tRNA from 1 species
CGGGGUGUAGCGCAGUUGGCUAGCGCACUCGCUUUGGGAGCGAGGGGUCGCGAGUUCGAGUCUCGCCACCCCGA